rnacentral:rRNA from 1 species
GACGAACGCUGGCGGCGUGCUUAACACAUGCAAGUCGAACGGAAAGGCCCUGCUUUUGUGGGUUGCUCGAGUGGCGAACGGGUGAGUAACACGUGAGUAACCUGCCCUUGACUUUGGGAUAACUUCAGGAAACUGGGGCUAAUACCGGAUAGGAGCUCCUGCUGCAUGGUGGGGGUUGGAAAGUUUCGGCGGUUGGGGAUGGACUCGCGGCUUAUCAGCUUGUUGGUGGGGUAGUGGCUUACCAAGGCUUUGACGGGUAGCCGGCCUGAGAGGGUGACCGGCCACAUUGGAACUGAGAUACGGCCCAGACUCCUACGGGAGGCAGCAGUGGGGAAUAUUGCACAAUGGGCGGAAGCCUGAUGCAGCAACGCCGCGUGCGGGAUGACGGCCUUCGGGUUGUAAACCGCUUUCGCCUGUGACGAAGCGUGAGUGACGGUAAUGGGUAAAGAAGCACCGGCUAACUACGUG